UGACUAUGCCACAAAAAAUGGAUUAACACAAACUUAGUGAUUUGGCCCAUGACCUUCCAACUCAACGUUCUGCAGGUCCAGCUGGGGAUGAUAUGUUUCAUUGGCAAGCCACAAUUAUGGAACCUGAUAACAGCCCAUAUUAAGGCUGUGUGUUCCUUUUGAAAAUUCACUUUCCUAUAGACUAUCCCUUCAAAUCACAUGAGGUUGCACUUAGAAAAACAAUUUAUCAACCAAAUAUUAAUAGUAAUGAUAGCAUUUGUCUUAAUAUUCUAAGAUUAAAGUCAUCUUCUGCUUUAACUAUUUCUAACGUUCUCUUAUUCAUUUGCAGGGAACAAUAAGACAGAGAUAGGCACAAAAGAAUAUCUCGAGAAUGGACUUAGAAGUAUGCCAUGUG
rnacentral:lncRNA from 10 species